UGCGGUUGCGGGCGGUACCGGUUA
rnacentral:siRNA from 1 species